rnacentral:misc_RNA from 1 species
AUAUAUUUCGAUAUCUCUUGUAAAAACAACUUGAGAACGUUAUAUUACACUUAAUAUUUUUUUUUACCGAGUUACAAAAAUUAUAUCAAACAUAAACUAGAAAAAAAAUUAACAAAUUAGAACAUUUAUGGUACAUACAAAUAUCUUAAAAAUAGCCUAGUGGUAGCCGAUACGGUAUAAUCCAACUAUUUAUUGCGAGGCACAACUUCUCUAAGCAUUAUCACCUCACAGUGGUAAGGGCAUAGGCUAAGCCCCCCAAAAAAGUUUAAAGUUUAUUCAAUAUUAUCAAAGUCGGACUUUACUCCCCCCCCCCCCUAAACUCAAACACUAUUUGCGGCUAUUGGUAAGGGAUUGAUUUGGUAAGGGCUAUUGGUGUUAAUUGAACCACGGCAAGUGUUUUGCAUUUGUAAUAUAAUACUAUAUUGUGCUUAAUAUAAAAUGUCUUAGUGAUUUAUUUAUUAAUUCUAUUUUAUACAUUUUAUAAUUUUAAAAAGUUUCAUCAAGAAGUCGAUCCCCAAAACGGUAUUAUGCAGGUCAACUCACUGCAGUAACCACUCUCUAUGCGUUUUAUUUAAAACCGGAUUUUCUGUACGAAUAAAAAACUAGGUAGGAAUACGUUUUAAUUUCAUCAUUCGCUGUAUAAUAAAUUUUGAACCGUUCAACUACAUCAAGUAGGAACGUUUAAUCUUUUAUCGCGUGUCGAGCGGGACUUCAUCGAAGCAUUCGAAGCAUGCGCUUGCACUGAUCAUGGGAUUGUAUGUACCUACUCGUCGUUAAUUAACGGGAGAUAACAAACGAAUAUUGUGAAUAUUGUGAAAAUACAUUUCGAUUUUUACGUGCCAAGAGUUAAUUAUUUUUACACAUCGAUUUCUCAAGAGUACCCAAGUUAUCGAAAAACACUCAAGGGUGUUAAGUUAUUCUGUAGAAUCAAUUUUUGAUCAUGAAUAAACCAUACACAACUAAAUGCGAUCCCGAGGAAGCUGUAGUAGCUAACAAAUCUACUAUGCCAAACACACCUAAUCUGAAAGGAGAUUGGUUAAACUUCAACUUGUUGUUAUUGCUUUACGUUCUACAGGGAUUUCCAAUAGGCUUAUCCGGUACUCUUCCAAUCAUUUUACAGAGUAGAAAAAUGGUGACUUAUGAAGAACAGGCUUUAUUUAGUAUUGUGCUUUGGCCUUAUACAUUGAAAGUUUUAUUUGCCCCAUUAGUAGACUCAUUAUACGUACAACGGAUUGGAAGAAGAAAAUCUUGGUUAUUACCUCUUCAAUAUUUAGUAGGGACAAUUUUGAUGUAUACGGCAAAUAAUAUCGAUGAUUGGUUGCCCGAAUCUGGGAAGCCAAACCUAACGAUGAUCGUAUGUGUGGUAUUUGCUAUCAAUGUCCUCUCCGCAAUUCAAGAUAUUGUCGUUGACGGUUGGUCUUUAACCAUGUUGAAAAAAAAUAACGUGGGUUAUGCUUCUACGUGUAAUGCUACUGGAUUACCAAUUGGAAUGUUUAUUGGUUCAGUUUGUCCAAUUCUGCUGGUAUCUGAGGACUUCAACAAUAAAUAUUUUCGAGUUAUGCCUACCACUGGUGGUUUAAUGACAUUGCAAACUUUUAUAUAUUUGUGGAGCAUUAUAUUUUUAUUAAUAACUACAUUAAUUGGUAUAUUUAAAAAGGAGAAAGAUAAUAAAUUAGAAUUGGACCACGUAAAGAUCAGCGUUUUUCAAAAUUAUAAACUGCUAUGGGACAUUUUAAAGAAGCCUAAAAUAAGACUAUUAGCAAUAGCAUUGCUAACAGCAAGGUUUGGAUUUUCUGGAAUGGACACUGCAUCGGAUUUGAAAUUAAUCGAUGCCGGGAUAUCUAAAGAUGACAUUAUGAUAAUAGAAACCGGCAUGUAUGCUGUAAAAUUUAUCAUGCCAAUUUUCGUAUCCAAAUACAUUUCUGGUCCUAAACCGAUGGAUCUUUAUCUGACGAUGACACCAAUCAGAUUGAUUUGGAGUAUUACUUACAUGGUAUUGAUUUACUACACUCCGAGCUUAAUAAAUAAUAAUGGAGAUAUAAAAGUACCGAUUUAUUAUUAUUUCUCAUUAACAUUAAUUUUUGCAGUAAAUACGGCUGAAGUAAAGUCAUGGUGAGAUGUUGCGUUGAUAAAAGAGAGAGGAUAUUAAAAUGUUGUUUAUUUUAUCGUUUGAUGUUUAGUUGUUUCAAAAUACACUUAACGUUUUCGCAUUAAUUAAACCUCGACAUUGACUAGAAAUAGAAGUUGAACUGCGGUGGUUUAAUAGUAGUACCUACUAUAUUAAAGUCCAAAAAGAAAAAUUCUUGUUGGAGAACUUUAAUAACUCAAUAUGCUGAGUUUUUUCAUGUUAUUAGCAUUAUACGCUUUCUUCUGUCGAUCAAGCGAUCCACGUUUUGGCGGCACGUACAUGGCGUUAUAUAAUACAUUUUAUUUUCUGGGAUGGUUAAUACCUAAUACUUUGGUU